GGGAGCAGUGAGGUGACUUUGGCAGCUAACAGGCCACUAGUAUCCUACUAAAGCUUUUGUCUGGAUAGGAGCAACAUUGCAUGUUUACAGUCUUGCAGAAGCUCCGGCAGGGAGGAUGAUACAGUCAGACAAAGGAGCAGAUCCACCAGACAAGAAGGACAUGAAGCUUUCUACAGCCACCAAUCCGCAGAAUGGCCUCUCCCAGAUCCUGAGGCUUGUGCUGCAAGAGCUGAGUCUGUUCUACAGCAGAGACGUGAAUGGAGUGUGUCUCUUGUACAAUCUCCUCCACUCGCCGUGGCUUCAGGCUCUGCUAAAGAUUUAUGACUGCCUCCAGGAAUUUAAAGAAAAGAAACUAGUUCCUGCCACACUACAUGCACAGGUGUUAUCCUAUGAGGUAGUGGAGUUAUUACGUGAAACCGCUACUUCCCCUGAGAUCCAAGAGCUGAGACAAAUGCUCCAGGCUCCACACUUUAAGGGAGCCACCAUCAAGCGCCAUGAGAUGACAGGGGACAUCUUGGUGGCCAGGGUCAUCCACGGUGGGCUGGCGGAGAAAAGUGGGUUGCUAUAUGCUGGAGACAAACUGGUAGAAGUGAAUGGAGUUUCAGUUGAGGGACUGGACCCUGAACAAGUGAUCCAUAUUCUGGCCAUGUCUCGAGGCACAAUCAUGUUCAAGGUGGUUCCAGUCUCUGACCCUCCUGUGAAUAGCCAGAAGAUGGUGUACGUCCGUGCCAUGACUGAGUACUGGCCCCAGGAGGAUCCCGACAUCCCCUGCAUGGACGCUGGAUUGCCUUUCCAGAAGGGGGACAUCCUCCAGAUUGUGGACCAGAAUGAUGCCCUCUGGUGGCAGGCCCGAAAAAUCUCAGACCCUGCUACCUGUGCUGGGCUUGUCCCUUCUAACCACCUUCUGAAGAGAAGAUGACAUGAAGAUUGAUGAGAAAUGUGUGGAAGCAGGUAACAUUUUCUCUUGAUUGCUUUGCUGUUAGAAGAAAUAUGAAGCAUGUCAAUUAUAGAUUAUCUGAAGCAGAGGUGUCCAAAGGGGCCAUGGGCCUUUCCUCUGGGAGAAAUGUGUAAAAUGACCCUCCACCCCCAUCUUUCUUCUGUAGUUCUGGCACUUGGAAGGAGAAGCUGUGGUAAUGUCUCCAGGUUCCCACUGAUCUACUAGAAAAUGCUCUAGAAAGCAGUGCUUUGUAAAUGAUCUCAGGAACACUUAGUAACACUCAGCAUAUCAGAUGGUAGAACACUUGGAAACCUCUGGUCUUUGUGAAACACCAUAAAAUAUUGCAGUAUCAAAUUUUUAAAGAGCAAUAUAUAUAUUUUAUUAUUAAGUUUGAUGCCAUCUUCUGGUGGAUUCUAGUAUAGAUAAAUAGUAGUAGUUUCCAAAAUGAUGAGACAUGCAUGAAAGUUUUUUACAUUUCUAUUCUUUAAUUUUUUUGUAAAUUGGGGAAAGAUUUUUCAAAUUUAGUGGCAGAACUAAGAUUGGCUUAAGAAUCACUAGGAUUUUGUUAGGAGACCAGUUGGAGAACCUUAGUCUGACAGGUGAAUCUGUCUUUGCUUUACAGGCUAGUCUAGUUUUUAGAAGUGAGAGAACAAUGUAAAAUUUUAAAACAGUGGGCAUUUCAAUGAUUCACAUAUAUUUUCCAGAGCAACAGCAGAAUACUGCUGACAUUAUGUUUAUUUUACCACGUAUACGUUUUUUUAAACUUGCAGUAAUAUUCAUUUCCUUUCUACAAUUUCCAUUAUAUUUUUAUUAGGUAACAAUUCACAUAGUUCAAAAUAACUACAAAGGUAUAUUCAGUAAGAGGUUCCUCUCUUUCCAUGUUCUCCUACUCAUUUUUCUUUCUUGGGGCAAUAAAUGUUAAUAGUUUAUUCAGUAUCACCCCAGACAUAUUCUGUGCACAUAAAAGCAGUGAUGUGGCCGGGCGCGGUGGCUCACACCUGUAAUCCUAGCACUUUGGGAGGCCGAGGUGGGCGGAUCACGAGGUCAGCUGAUUGAGACCAUCCUGCCUAACACAGUGAAAGCCUGUCUCUACUAAAAAAAAUAGAAAAAAAAUUAGCCAGGCGUGGUGGCGGGCGCCUGUAAUCCCAGCUACUCAGGAGGCUGAGGCAGGAGAAUGGCGUGAACCCGGAAGGCGGAGCUUGCAGUGAGCCGAGAUUGCGCCACUGCACUCCAGCCUGGGAGACAGAGUGAGACUCCAAAAAAAAAAAAAAAAAAAAAAA
rnacentral:sRNA from 1 species